rnacentral:rRNA from 1 species
UCAGGCCUAACACAUGCAAGUCGAGCGAGAUAUAGGGGCUUGCCCUUAUACCUAGCGGCGGACGGGUGAGUAACGCGUGAGCAAUCUGCCUUUGUCACUGGGAUAACACUUAGAAAUAGGUGCUAAUACCGGAUAAGACCACACCAUAGCAUUAUGGAGGGGUAAAAGAUAUCUCGGACAAAGAUGAGCUCGCGUCCCAUUAGCUAGAUGGUGAGGUAACGGCCCACCAUGGCAACGAUGGGUAGCCGACCUGAGAGGGUGAUCGGCCACAUUGGAACUGAGACACGGUCCAAACUCCUACGGGAGGCAGCAGUGGGGAAUAUUGGGCAAUGGAGGGAACUCUGACCCAGCAACGCCGCGUGAAGGAAGAAGGUUUUCGGAUUGUAAACUUCUGUCGUGAGGGAAGAAGAAUGACGGUACCUCAUAAGAAAGCCCCGGCUAACUACGUGCCAGCAGCCGCGGUAAUACGUAGGGGGCAAGCGUUGUCCGGAAUGACUGGGCGUAAAGGGAGUGUAGGCGGCAAAGCAAGUUAUAUGUGAAAGCCCGCAGCUUAACUGCGGAAUUGCAUAUAAAACUGCUUAGCUAGAGUGUGGGAGAGGUAAGUGGAAUUCCUAGUGUAGCGGUGGAAUGCGUAGAUAUUAGGAGGAACUCCAGUGGCGAAAGCGGCUUACUGGCCCAUAACUGACGCUGAGGCUCGAAAGCGUGGGGAGCAAACAGGAUUAGAUACCCUGGUAGUCCACGCCCUAAACGAUGGAUACUAGACGAGGGGGGAUUAAACCCUCCGUGUCGAAGCAAACGCGCUAAGUAUCCCGCCUGGGGAGUACGGCCGCAAGGUUAAAACUCAAAGAAAUUGACGGGGACCCGCACAAGCAGCGGAGCAUGUGGAUUAAAUUCGAAGCAACGCGAAGAACCUUACCAAGACUUGACAUCGGAUGCAUAGUAUUGAAAGAUAUGAAACCCUUAGGGGCAUCCAGACAGGUGGUGCAUGGUUGUCGUCAGCUCGUGUCGUGAGAUGUUCGGUUAAGUCCGGCAACGAGCGCAACCCUUAUGAUUAGUUGCCAAUAUUAAGUUAGGCACUCUAACAAGACUGCCGGUGACAAAUCGGAGGAAGGUGGGGAUGACGUCAAAUCAUCAUGCCCCUUAUGUCCUGGGCUACACACGUACUACAAUGGCGAUUACAGAGGGCAGCGAAGCCGCGAGGUGGAGCAAAUCCCUAAAGGUCGCCCCAGUUCAGAUUGCAGGCUGAAACUCGCCUGCAUGAAGUAGGAAUUGCUAGUAAUGGCAGGUCAGCAUACUGCCGUGAAUACGUUCCCGGGCCUU